UACGUAGGGGGCUAGCGUUGUCCGGAAUCAUUGGGCGUAAAGCGCGUGUAGGCGGUCCGGUAAGUCCGCUGUGAAAGUCGGGGGCUCAACCCUCGAAUGCCGGUGGAUACUGUCGGGCUAGAGUGCGGAAGAGGCGAGUGGAAUUCCCGGUGUAGCGGUGAAAUGCGCAGAUAUCGGGAGGAACACCAAUGGCGAAGGCAGCUCGCUGGGACGGUACUGACGCUGAGGGACGAAAGCUAGGGGAGCGAAUGGG
rnacentral:rRNA from 1 species